ensembl:lncRNA LINC00649 long intergenic non-protein coding RNA 649
GAGUAUGUUGUUUACAGAAUGAAAAGCGAGUUCCACAUAAGCUGAGACUUGGCUUCAGUCAUGCCUGGGAAUCUACAAACUCAAUGCCCUCUCACUGGCAGAACAUAAAAGCUAAAGAUUACCCCUAAUCCCGUGGCAUUUUAAAAUCCAUGGAAUGGGCUUUGGUGCUCAGCAAUUUUCACUUAAAGUCACACACUCUUUUGGAGCUGGGUGCGGUGGCUCAGGACUGUAAUUCCAGCUACAUGAGAGGAUUGCCUGAGGCCAGGAGUUUGAGACCAGCCUGAACAACAUAAUAGACUGGGAGCUCCAUGAGGUCCGAGACAACCUGAAGACGCCCAGCUCAGCAGAGACUGGCUACGGCAAUCACUCAGUAACUAUUUGUUGAAUUGGACAUAAUAGAAGAGCUGAAGAAUUUUAAACAAGUCACCAUCAGUGCAGUGGAUUCCUCAAAGCAAACCUGGAAAUCUCGGCAUGAGUUGGAUUUAAGGCAGUACAUUUUCAGCUCCUGAAAAUUUGAACAGUUUCUCAAGAGAACAACUUGAAACAGAAAGGCAAGGAUGUAGAUGUGGUUGUAGAAGAUGAUGUCUGCGGCCACCAAACUGUCCACUGUGAAGACAAACCAUGC